rnacentral:rRNA from 1 species
AGUGAACGCUGGCGGUAGGCCUAACACAUGCAAGUCGAACGGCAGCACAGUAAGAGCUUGCUCUUACGGGUGGCGAGUGGCGGACGGGUGAGGAAUACAUCGGAAUCUACUUUUUCGUGGGGGAUAACGUAGGGAAACUUACGCUAAUACCGCAUACGACCUACGGGUGAAAGCAGGGGAUCUUCGGACCUUGCGCGAUUGAAUGAGCCGAAGUCGGAUUAGCUAGUUGGCGGGGUAAAGGCCCACCAAGGCGACGAUCCGUAACUGGUCUGAGAGGAUGAUCAGCCACACUGGAACUGAGACACGGUCCAGACUCCUACGGGAGGCAGCAGUGGGGAAUAUUGGACAAUGGGCGCAAGCCUGAUCCAGCCAUACCGCGUGGGUGAAGAAGGCCUUCGGGUUGUAAAGCCCUUUUGUUGGGAAAGAAAAGCAGCAGGUUAAUACCCCGCUGUUCUGACGGUACCCAAAGAAUAAGCACCGGCUAACUUCGUG